CAGGCCUAACACAUGCAAGUCGAACGAAGGCUUCGGCCUUAGUGGCGCACGGGUGCGUAACUCGUGGGAAUCUGCCCCUGCGGUUCGGAAUAACAUUUACAAAUGACUGGUAAUACCGGAUGAUGACCUAAGUCCAAAGGAUCUAUGCGCCCAGGGCAUGAGCCCGCGUAGGAUUAACUAGUUGGUGGGGUAAAUGCCUACCAAGGCGACGAUCCUUAGCUGGUCUGAGAGGAUGAUCAACCACACUGGGACUGAGACACGGCCCAGACUCCUACGGGAGGCAGCACUGGGGACUAUUGGACACUGGGCGAAAGCCUGAUCCACCAAUGCCGCCUGAGUGAUGAAGGCCUUACGGUUGUAAAGCUCAACGACCCGGGAUGAUAAUGACCGUACCGCGAGAAUAAGCUCCGGCUAACUCCGUGCCAUCACCCGCGGUAAU
rnacentral:rRNA from 1 species